rnacentral:misc_RNA from 1 species
UUUCAGACACUGCAACCACCACCGUCUAAUUCUGUAGCUCUUCCUUCCCUUACAACAAUGGCUGAAGCAUUCCUCUUCGAUCUUGCAAUCGAAAUAAUGACAAAGUUGGGUUCCCAUGCUAUCCAGGAGAUUGGCCUGUACUGGGGCUUCAAAGACGAGCUUCACAAGCUCAACAGAAUGGUAUCUACCAUCAAAGCUGUGCUUCUUCAUGCAGAGGAGCUGUCAUCGGAGAAUCGUCAAGUCAAAGAGUGGCUUUCGAUGCUCAAAGAUGCAUUUUAUGAUGCUGAUGACUUGUUGGAUGAGUUAUCACUCAAGGCUUUACAAAAACAAGUUAUGACUGGCACAAGAAUGGCCAAGGAGGUACGCCUUUUCUUUUCCAGCUCAAAUCCAUUUGCUUAUGGUCCUAAAAUGGCUCAUAAAAUUAAGGCAAUCGGAGAAAGAUUGGAUGAGAUAGCUGAAAAUAGGAAGUUUUUCUUGGAGGAGCGCCAUGAGGAGAGGCGUAUUGCAGCUAAUAAGGGCAGGGACCAAACUCACUCCUUUCCACCUGAAGUAGUUGUUGGCAGGGAACAUGAUAAGGAGGCAAUUAUAGAGCUUCUGUUGAAAUCCAAUGAUGAAGAGAAUGUGUCAAUUAUUCCCAUAAUUGGAAUUGGUGGAUUGGGAAAGACAACAUUAGCCCAACUUGUGUAUAAUGAUGAGAAAGUCAAAGGGCAAUUUGAGCUAAAAGCAUGGGCAUGUGUCUCAGAUAAUUUUGAUGUAAAAUUAAUAGUUGAAAAGAUUUUAGAAUCUGUGUCUUGUCAGAAACCUAAUAGUAGCGAGAUGGAUGCAUUGAAAAGUCUCCUUCAUGAAAAAAUUAUUGGGAAGAAAUACUUGAUUGUGUUGGAUGACAUAUGGAAUGAGGAUUCAGAAAAAUGGAAUCGCUUAAAGGACUUGCUAGUUGGUGGUGCAAGAGGAAGCAAAAUAAUAAUAACCACGCGACUUAGAAAGGUUGCAGAGUUGGCUCGCCCCAUUGCUAUGUAUGAAUUACAAGGCUUGCCUGAAUCUGAAUCUUGGUCAUUGUUUGAAAAAAUAGCAUUCAAGCGAGGACAAGUGGUAAGUCAAAGCCAUGAAGAUAUAGGAAGGGAAAUUGUAGCAAAGUGUUGGGGGGUUCCUUUGGCCAUAAGAACAAUAGGAAGUCUCUUGUACUUGAAGGAUUCCGAAUCUGAAUGGUUAUCCUUCAAAAGUAAAGAACUCUCAAAGGUAAAUCAGUGUGAAAGUGAUAUUUUACCUACUCUUAAAUUGAGUUAUAAUUAUUUGCCUUCGCAUUUGAAACAAUGUUUUGCAUAUUGUGCCUUAUUUCCAAAAGACUACCAAAUUGAUGUUGAUAUGUUAAUACGUCUUUGGAUGGCACAAGGUUAUGUGAAGUCAUCGGAUCCGAGCCAAUGUCUUAUAGAUGUUGGUCUUGAAUAUUUUGGUGAUCUUCUUUGGAGGUCUUUCUUUCAAGAAGUUGAAAAAGAUGACCUUGGUAAUUAUACAACUUGUAAAAUGCAUGAUUUGAUGCAUGAUCUU